rnacentral:tRNA from 1 species
GGCCGCGUGGCCCAAUGGUUAGGGCGCUAGAUUUCGGUUAUUAUAUCUCUGAUUCUCUCUAGAGAUUCCAGGUUCGACUCCUGGCGUGGUCG